GACGAACGCUGGCGGCGUGCUUAACACAUGCAAGUCGAACGGAAAGGCCCUGCUUUUGUGGGGUGCUCGAGUGGCGAACGGGUGAGUAACACGUGAGUAACCUGCCCUUGACUUUGGGAUAACUUCAGGAAACUGGGGCUAAUACCGGAUAGGAGCUCCUGCUGCAUGGUGGGGGUUGGAAAGUUUCGGCGGUUGGGGAUGGACUCGCGGCUUAUCAGCUUGUUGGUGGGGUAGUGGCUUACCAAGGCUUUGACGGGUAGCCGGCCUGAGAGGGUGACCGGCCACAGUGGGACUGAGAUACGGCCCAGACUGCUACGGGAGGCAGCAGGGGGGAAUAUUGCAGAAUGGGCGGAAGCCUGAUGCAGCAGCGCCGCGUGCGGGAUGACGGACUUCGGGUUGUAAACAGCGUACGCCGGUGAAGAAGCGUGAGUGACGGUAAUGGGUAAAGGAGCACCGGAUAACUACGUG
rnacentral:rRNA from 1 species